GAGCAGAUAAUUGAGAGGCCUGGCCCAUGGAUGGGUUUGAACCACCUCAGGACUGAAGAUGAGAGGCUCAGUUUCACUAACAAUAAGAACAGUGACAAAUUCCCUGCCCUGCCAAAGCCCUGUGGUCCUUAUGCAGGUAGAGCCCUCGUGCUGAAUGUUUGCAGGCUGACUCUUCAAUAAGACUGUGAGCUCCUUGAGACAGGAAUUGGGUCUCUGUGCAGUGUAUCACAUCUACCUCAAUGCUCUGCUUAGAGGAAGUGUUUGAAAAAUGUUUGUGUGAUAAAUAAUAAUAAUAAUAAUCCAAUUAAGAUAUACUCCUCUCGGUAUGAAAAACUCUAUCCCAAGGUGGAGCAGCUUUGAAAAUGUGGUUGGAUGAAAAUGAAAUUUCAGAUAUGUGUGUCUCAGCAUUGAUUUUUCUAUUUGUAAUAACACACCCCGGCAUAUCUCCUUUGAUAUCAAGAGGAUAAAAUGUCCCUAACAGCAUGCUCUCCAUUCUGGGAUGCCAGUGGCACCCCUGUCCCAGAUGUGACAACCAAAAAUGAUGUCAGACAUUGCUGAAUUGUCUCCUGGGGGAGGAGAAAAAUCACCCCCUUUGAGAACUGCUGGGCAGCUCUAAAGGUCAUCCCUAAGUGCAGGGUGAGGAGAUGACCUGCCCUUCUGCCCCACAACGCCAUCCUAUGUCUGAAAUUCUUCUUAAGGGCAUGGUG
rnacentral:lncRNA from 1 species